rnacentral:rRNA from 1 species
UACGUAGGGGGCAAGCGUUGUCCGGAUUUAUUGGGCGUAAAGAGCGUGUAGGCGGCUUUGCAAGUCCGUUGUGAAAACUCGAGGCUCAACCUCGAGACGCCGGUGGAAACUGCAAAGCUAGAGUCCGGAAUAGGAGAGUGGAAUUCCUGGUGUAGCGGUGAAAUGCGCAGAUAUCAGGAAGAACACCCGUGGCGAAGGCGGCUCUCUGGGACGGUACUGACGCUGAGACGCGAAAGCGUGGGGAGCGAACAGG